UAUCAAAAUGUGGCACAAAACGGCACUGAAGAUAAGUGAGGCACGCAGUAGCAGUGCCUCACCAGAGAGGGCGCUUGUGGGCUCGCCUUUGUUUUUAAUUUGUUACUAAUAAAGUUUAUUUAAAUAAGAGCCAGUAUGACUGCAAAAUGGCGGAUGUAAUCCCGCCAAAAAUGAUUCGAAGUUGGACUUUCAUUCAAAACAUGAAGAAGUAAUUCAUAAAAGCUGAACCAACACAUCUUUAUUGAAGACCAAGAGACUUCCAAAACUAAAAGAAGAGGACUUUUAAGCUAAAGUCGCGGAGAUACAGUAUUUGUCCCGAAUUAGAUGGACUUCAUUUACAGUGACAAGAAAGGCUCCCAGGACAAAGCUCGAGCGGACCCACCUGCACCCCCAUCUGACCAUAGGAGACCUGUUCCAGAGCAACCCUCAUCCCUGCUGGUGAUUCACCACUGCAGGAAUGCAAGCGAGGCCAACCGAGUGAAAUCUGGCGUGGGCCCAGCUCCAAGUCUGAGGCGGUGAUUGCAUCUGAACAUCUCCAUCAGAGAACGCUAGAAGGCGGGGGCGAGACAAGGGCGCGCAGGAUGGCGUACCUGUGCCCUUUCGCAGAUGCCAGGCUGGGACCGGCUCCGAGGAGACGAGAGGUGAGAGGAUCAGUGCCGGAGCUGCUGGCCUUCACAACAUCAAUCAGGAUGGAGCUGAUUCAUUAAAGAGGAUAUAGGUGGGAAGCAGCCCGAGCAGGAAACGCCUCAGGGGUUGUUUUUGGCUUUAAGUUGAAUCGAUUUUACCACAAAUUUUAUCAAUAAAAAAUACAAAGGUCAUAAAACCA